rnacentral:misc_RNA from 1 species
CGCAGUCGCCGUUUGCUCUGCCACCACGCAUCAAUGUCCCAGCACCUCGCAGCCGCAUUGAAGCUCUUGAUCUGAACUCCCAGUCCCAGGGUACCGAUUUUCCAUAUCUCUCAUCCUACCAAGAUGUUCUCCAGUCAGGUGAUGGUGGAUCCGACCUAGGUUUGCCUCCUCUUGGUCGUGGUAGAUCAGCGCGCACACUAUUUCAAUCCACCAGAACCAUUUCAGCUCCUAUUUCUCAUGCCCGAGGUCCAAUUCGAGGUUGCCGUGGAGUUAGGGGGAGAGGCACUAGUAGUCGUGGUGGAGGUCGAUCUGCUAUUUCUGCACCUAUUGACCCUGUCCUCAUUGAAGAUUUUGGAGAUGAACCAACCAAUGAAAUGGAUUCUCGAGCUUCUGUGCCUCGUUUUGACAAGGCCAAUUGGAAUGAAGAGAACACACAAAUAUUCUGUGAUUUAUGUGUUGACCAAAUUAGAGCUGGGAACUGUCUAAAUGGUACAAUGACAACCAGAGGAUACAACCUGAUAAAGGAAGAAUUCUUUUCUAAGACAGGACUCAGACACGACACCAAACAAUUUAAGAAUAGAUGGACUCAGUGUAAGGCCUUGUACUCUUUUUGGUUGUUUCUUAACAAUCAAAGUGGGUUAGGAAGAAGG